UGUGUUUGUUAGGCAGUUUGCUCAUAUUCACAGUCUGUAAAUGAAGAUUGAAAAAAAUCAGACUAUAAACUAAAGGGCAGUGAUUAACAGAACACUACCUAUGCUCUUUGACAUAGCUAAGUCAAGAUAAGCAGUAUGCGCUGCCAGCCUGUGCAUCAUGUGUUGAUUUCCCUUUAAAGAACGCUACAAGAUUCAGGAGGAAGGAUCAAAGGAUCUCAUCCUAACAAACCCAAGCAGUUCCAUGCCUAACUAACACAAGUACAAUGCAUCAAGUUCUGAUUGAGCAAAUUCUAAAAUUUGGAUUGGAAGCAAAGGCUAUUUCAUGCAGGCUUUGUCAUGCCAGCUAAGCCUGCAAACUGUGUUAACAUGCUGCUGAAGAACCAUGAAAGAAAGCAGCAGGUUCUGAAAAUUUUGGAAACAUGACAGAAAGAAGACGGGACAAGGAAGGAGUUGUACUAAGUCAACUAACUGCAUGACCCUUUACUGCUUUCCUAAAGAAGAUGAGAAAGGAAAUGAAACAAGAGUGCAUAGGUUCUCCUGCUGAGAAGUAGAAACCAGAAAGAUGGCAGUGCCUACAAAUAUGAAGUACAUUGACAACAGUACUGGCAUCAUUUCCAUACAAUCUCAGAGGCUGUAAACAUCUCCGAUAAACUAAAUUAGGUGCAAGAAAAUGUGGAUCAGUUCUUAAAGUAAAACCGAAUGUCAUGAGAAAAUGUGGAUCAGUCCUUAAAGUAAAACCGAAUGUCAUGAGAACAUGUGGAUCAGUCCUUAAAUUAAAACCGAAUGUCAUGAGAAAAUGUGGAUCAGUCCUUAAAGUAAAACCGAAUGUCAUGAGAAAAUGUGGAUCAGUCCUUAAAGUAAAACCGAAUGUCAUGAAAUGCAUAACAAUAAAUCCCUUACAUUGCCUAGCCUAUUCUAACAUUGUAAAAUCUCAAACUCACCCACGGGCUACAAACUAUACUAAUUCUGCCUUCAUAUUACUUACCCAUAAUCACACAUUUUUCCUUCCUUCACCCUCUCUCCUAUACUGUCUAAGCCUCCCUCUCCUCCUCCCAUUCUCCUUUACUCACGCUAUUUCUCCCUUCUCUCUCCUCUCCCCAUCUGUUAUAUCUGUUCCAAUUACGUUACUUUCGUGUAAAUAUUGUAACUUAUUUUCUUCUUCUUGUAUUUUUAACAACCAUAAACAUACUAUUCUAUGAAACUGCUCUCUAACAUUUAAUCAGCCAUUUGUUUCUUUGUGAUUCCUAUACCUGUAGCAACUAGGAAACUUAUUGUCUAUGAAUUUGGUCUGUAACAUUCUUGUAAUUGCGCUUGUUAUUUUUUCUUUUGUUAUUUACAAAUAUGUUAAAAUGUCUUGUCUGCAAAUGUUAAUCACUAACUGUAUGGAGCUUUUCGCCCCAGGCCUCCACCGAAAAUGGGCUUCCAGGCCCAGUGGACUUUCUCAGUAAA